GGAGGGAAUAGCUCAGUGGUAAAGCAUGUGCUUAGGAUGCACAAAGUCCUGGGUUCAACCCCCAGUUCCUCCA
rnacentral:tRNA from 1 species